rnacentral:rRNA from 1 species
ACCUGAUCCCUUCCCGAACUCAGAAGUGAAACCUCUUCGCGCUGAUGGUAGUGUGGGGUUACCCAUGUGAGAGUAAGUCAUCGCCAGCU